rnacentral:rRNA from 1 species
UACGUAGGGUGCAAGCGUUGUCCGGAAUUAUUGGGCGUAAAGGGCUCGUAGGCGGUCCAUCACGUCGGGAGUGAAAAGCUGGGGCUUAACCCCAGUCCUGCUUCCGAUACGGGUGGACUAGAGGUAGGCAGGGGAGAACGGAAUUCCUGGUGUAGCGGUGAAAUGCGCAGAUAUCAGGAAGAACACCCGUGGCUAAGGCGGCUCUCUAGUACGGUACUGACGCUGAGACGCGAAAGCGUGGGGAGCGAACAGG